CACGCCNUAAACGAUGUCGAUUAGCUGUUGGGCAGCAUGACUGCUUAGUAGCGAAGCUAACGCGUGAAAUCGACCGCCUGGGGAGUACGGUCGCAAGAUUAAAACUCAAAGGAAUUGACGGGGACCCGCACAAGCGGUGGAUGAUGUGGAUUAAUUCGAUGCAACGCGAAGAACCUUACCUGGUCUUGACAUGUACGGAAUCCUCCAGAGACGGAGGGGUGCCUUCGGGAGCCGUAACACAGGUGCUGCAUGGCUGUCGUCAGCUCGUGUCGUGAGAUGUUGGGUUAAGUCCCGCAACGAGCGCAACCCUUGUCAUUAGUUGCCAUCAUUAAGUUGGGCACUCUAAUGAGACUGCCGGUGACAAGCCGGAGGAAGGUGGGGAUGACGUCAAGUCCUCAUGGCCCUUAUGACCAGGGCUUCACACGUCAUACAAUGGUCGGUACAGAGGGUAGCCAAGCCGCGAGGUGGAGCCAAUCUCACAAAACCGAUCGUAGUCCGGAUUGCACUCUGCAACUCGAGUGCAUGAAGUCGGAAUCGCUAGUAAUCGCAGGUCAGCAUACUGCGGUGAAUACGUUCCCGGGUCUUGUACACACCGCCCGUCACACCAUGGGAGUGGGGGAUACCAGAAGUAGGUAGGGUAACCGCAAGGAGC
rnacentral:rRNA from 1 species